AGGGUGUAAACGCUGCCGACUUGGUGUUGGAGGCCCUUCGGGGGCAUUCAGUGCCGGAGAGAAGUUGUUAAGUCGGCCACUUGGGGAGUACGUCCGCAAGGAUGAAACUUAAAGGAAUUGGCGGGGGAGCACCACAACGGGUGGAGCCUGCGGUUUAAUUGGACUCAACGCCGGGAAGCUCACCGGAUAAGACAGCGGAAUGAUUGCCGGGCUGAAGACUCUGCAUGACUAGCUGAGAGGAGGUGCAUGGCGUAGACGUCU
rnacentral:rRNA from 1 species